UGUUUUGUUGUAUUGUAGCAUAAUAACUUUUCGUGUUAUAGGUGGUAUUUUACCAAACAGUAUUAAGAUGG
rnacentral:tRNA from 1 species